GAUGAAGAACGUAGCGAAAUGCGAUAAGUAGUGUGAAUUGCAGAAUUCAGUGAAUCAUCGAAUCUUUGAACGCACAUUGCGGCCAUAGGUAUUCCUUUGGCCAUGCCUGUUCGAGCGUCAUUUACACCCUCAAGCCUAACUUGGUGUUGGGCGUCUGUCCCGCCGUUUUCGCGCGCGGACUCGCCUCAAAGUCAUUGGCGGCGGUCGUGCCGGCCCCCUCGCGCAGCACAUUUGCGCUUCUCGGAGGCCCGGCGGAUCCGCGCUCCAGCAAGACCUUUCACGACUUGACCUCGGAUCAGGUAGGGAUACCCGCUGAACUUAAGCAUAUCAAUAAGCGGAGGA
rnacentral:misc_RNA from 1 species